GUCUGUCUCUCUUUAGUGCUCUGUUACAGAAACAUCUGGAGGGCUGAGUAGCAUUUUGGCCACAGUAAAUAGCCUGAAGGAAGAAUACGUCUUAUAUUUCUCCACAGAGAGGCAAAAUGGUGCGUGGCUGCCCCCCACAGAGGAACAGGGCGUCUCUGAGCCAAGUGGGCUUGGGGGACAGUGACCCUCGGUCUGUGGGUCACUUCCUCGAUCCUUCCAUCCUCUGUGAAGCAAUGAAGUCCUAUGUGUGAAGACUCAAGAUUCCUCCCGGACCAACCUGAGCGUAUUUAUUUCACAUCAGCCGUCAUCAAGAAACAGGCGGUUGGCCGUGUGAACGGAGCACAGGAAGUGGAGGUGAGUGAAUCUGGAAGAAUUUCCCAUGGGACCAACGGGAUGAAGGAGGCCAGAGACAAAUCAGAUACAAUUUCUGACCUUCACGCUGGGGGAUGGUCAUUGACCAUUGCCCAACCUCAGACUUGGAACCUGCAUUUGGAAGCAGAAGGUGGAUACAUUGAACUUGAUGUUCUAAGGGAAUAUUUAUAAUGUUGAUAAAAGAUUUUUAUCUAAGUUUAAAAUGCAUUUGUAUAUGUACACAUAAGUUUAGGUAUAUAAAAUGUGUAAUGUUUAUAAAUUACUGUUAUUACUACUGUUUUAUUUUAUUUUAUGUUGUCUUUUCUAGGGCCAUACCCAUGGCAUAUGGAGGUUCCCAGGCUAGGGGUCUAAUCAGAGAUGUUGCUGCCAGCCUACACCACAGCCACAGCAAUGCCGGAUCCUUAACCCACUGAGCAAGGGCAGGGAUCGAACCCGCAACCUCAUGGUUCCUAGUCGGAUUCGUUAACCACUGAGCCAUGACAGGAACUCCAUUACUACUGUUUUAGAAGAGGUAUUUGUUAGUUAAUAGAGACAGUAGCAAUACGACACUUUAUAGUGGGUUCAAGGCACUCUUUCCCAGGAUUGGAAAGGCCUUCAAAUUGUUGGUCUUUUGUUUCUUUUUCUGUUUUUCUCUUAGUUUGGUUAGAUUGGAACAGAGCUGCAUGGUUAUCUAGAGUUUUCUCUGGGCACAGACAUUUGGACUUUGGUGCCCGGAGCUCACUUCCUGACUCCCACUAUUUUGGGAUGUCGCUGGAGUUGGAAGCAGUGUAAGACAGGUGGCUCCUCUUCCCAAGAGGAUCCAGGCAGGAGGUGAUGCCGAGGGCGUCAGCUUUGCCAAGAAAAAGCAGGAAAGACUCCAGCUGGCCCUGUUCCCAGUGUAUCACCAAGGGAAGUUCUAGGAGCAGAGACCUGGUAUUGCCUAGUGUCUACACUGGUGGUAUUUGAGCAAUCAGGUUGGAGGAGUCUGGAUCACCCUCGUUUUGUUGUCUCCGAUUAUGUCAUGGAGAAUCUUUUUUCUUUUUUUUUUUCUUUUUUUUGGUCUUUUUGCCAUUUCUUCGGCUGCACCCAUGGCACAUGGAGGUUCCCAGGCUAGGGGUUGAAUCGGAGCUAUAGCCACCAGCCUAUACCAGAGCCACAGCAAUGCGGGAUCCAAGCUGCGUCUGCCACCUACACCACAGCUCACGGCAACGCCGGAUCCUUAACUCACUGAGCAAGGCCAGGGAUCAAACCCGCAACCUCAUGGUUCCCAGUCGGAUUCCUUAACCACUGAGACACAACGGGAGUGCCUUUUUUGUCUUUUUUUAGGGCUGCACCUAGAGGUUCCCAGGCUAGUGAUUGAAUUGGAGAUGCAGCCACUGGCCUACACCACAGCCACAGGAAUACUAUAUCUGAGCUGUAGUUUGCAACCUAUAUCACAGCUCACAGCCACACCAGGCCCUUAACCCCCUGAGCCAGGCCAGGGAUCGAACCUGCAUCCUCAUGAAUACUAGUCAGAUUCGUUUCUGCUGAGCCACAACAGGAAC
rnacentral:lncRNA from 9 species